GCCCUGGUGGUGUAGUGGUUGUAGCGAGCGUCCCCGGUAUCGAUGAAACGCGGGUUCGCUUCCCGCCUGAGGCC